rnacentral:rRNA from 1 species
UAAGUGCAUGUGGUGGAUGCCUUGGCAGUCAGAGGCGAUGAAAGACGUGGUAGCCUGCGAAAAGCUUCGGGGAGUCGGCAAACAGACUUUGAUCCGGAGAUGUCUGAAUGGGGGAACCCAGCCAUCAUAAGAUGGUUACCUUACACUGAAUACAUAGGUGUAUGGAGCGAACCAGGGGAACUGAAACAUCUAAGUACCCUGAGGAAAAGAAAUCAACCGAGAUUCCCUUAGUAGUGGCGAGCGAACGGGGACUAGCCCUUAAGUGGCUUUGAGAUUAGCGGAACGCUCUGGAAAGUGCGGCCAUAGUGGGUGAUAGCCCUGUACGCGAAAAUCUCUUAGUCAUGAAAUCGAGUAGGACGGAGCACGAGAAACUUUGUCUGAAUAUGGGGGGACCAUCCUCCAAGGCUAAAUACUCCUGACUGACCGAUAGUGAACCAGUACCGUGAGGGAAAGGUGAAAAGUACCCCGGGAGGGGAGUGAAAUAGUACCUGAAACCGAUUGCCUACAAUCCGUCGGAGCUGAGCCGCGAGGCGAGGUGACGGCGUGCCUUUUGAAGAAUGAGCCUGCGAGUUAGUGAUGCGUGGCGAGGUUAACCCGUGGUGGGGGAGUCGUAGCGAAAGCGAGUCCGAUAAGGGCGUGAGUCGCGUGUUCUAGACCCGAAGCGGUGUGAUCUAUCCAUGGCCAGGAUGAAGCGUCGGUAAGACGUCGUGGAGGUCCGAACCCACUUCAGUUAAAAAUGGAGGGGAUGAGUUGUGGAUAGGGGUGAAAGGCCAAUCAAACACCGUGAUAGCUGGUUCUCCCCGAAAUGCAUAUAGGUGCAGCGUCGCGUGUUCCUUGCCGGAGGUAGAGCACUGGAUAGUCUAGGGGGCCCACAAGCUUACCGAAAUUAGCCAAACUCCGAAUGCCGGUAAGCCAAGCGCGGCAGUGAGACUGCGGGCGAUAAGGUUCGUAGUCGAGAGGGAAACAGCCCAGAACACCAGCUAAGGCCCCUAAGCGGUUGCUAAGUGGAAAAGGAUGUGGAGUUGCGGAGACAACCAGGAGGUUGGCUUAGAAGCAGCCACCCUUGAAAGAGUGCGUAAUAGCUCACUGGUCAAGUGAUUCCGCGCCGACAAUUUAGCGGGGCUCAAGCAAUCCGCCGAAGCUGUGUCAUCUGCGUAUCACCCUGACUUCGGUCCAGGGGCGUGGAUGGGUAGGGGAGCGUCGUGUGCGCGAUGAAGCGGCAGGGUGACCUAGCCGUGGAGAGCACACGAGUGAGAAUGCAGGCAUGAGUAGCGAAUGAGGAGUGAGAAACUCCUCCACCGAAAGACCAAGGGUUCCAGGGUCAAGCUAAUCUGCCCUGGGUGAGUCGGGACCUAAGGCGAGGCCGACAGGCGUAGUCGAUGGACAACGGGUUGAUAUUCCCGUACCGGCGCUAGCACGAUCCUGCCGAGGCGAGCGAUGCUGAGCACGCGAGUCGCACGGAUCCUUCGGGUGAUGUGUCGAUGAGUCUGCGAACCAGACUUGUAUUAGGCAAGCUGCGGAGGGACGCAGGAAGGUAGCUCAACCCGGGCGAUGGUAUCCGCAAGGUGAUCCCGGGCUAAGUGUGUAGGGCGAGUCGUAGGUAAAUCCGCGGCUCACAUGGCCUGAGACAUGACGGCUGGUCGGUCUACGGACCGGCGAGUGAGUGAUCCUAUGCUGCCUAGAAAAUCUUCGUGAGCGAGUUCUAGAGCCGCCCGUACCCUAAACCGACACAGGUGGUCAGGUAGAGAAUACCAAGGUGAUCGAGAUAACCGUGGUUAAGGAACUCGGCAAAAUGCCCCCGUAACUUCGGGAUAAGGGGGGCCGGACGCGUUUGCAGGACUUGCUCCUGCUGGCGUGAAAGGCCGCAGAGACCAGGCCCAAGCGACUGUUUACUAAAAACACAGGUCCGUGCCAAGUCGUAAGACGAUGUAUACGGACUGACGCCUGCCCGGUGCUGGAACGUUAAGGGGAACUGUUAGCCUUACGGCGAAGCGGUGAACUUAAGCGCCAGUAAACGGCGGUGGUAACUAUAACCAUCCUAAGGUAGCGAAAUUCCUUGUCGGGUAAGUUCCGACCUGCACGAAUGGCGUAACGACUUGGGCGCUGUCUCGACCACGGACUCGGCGAAAUUGCACUACGAGUAAAGAUGCUCGUUACGCGCAGCAGGACGGAAAGACCCCGGGACCUUCACUAUAGUUUGGUAUUGGUGUUCGGUACAGCUUGUGUAGGAUAGGUGGGAGACUGUGAAGCGGCGACGCCAGUCGUCGUGGAGUCAACGUUGAAAUACCACUCUGGUUGUUCUGGAUAUCUAACCUAGGUCCAUUAUCUGGAUCAGGAACAGUGCCUGAUGGGUAGUUUGACUGGGGCGGUCGCCUCCCAAAAGGUAACGGAGGCGCCCAAAGGUUCCCUCAGCCUGGUUGGCAAUCAGGUUUCGAGUGUAAGUGCACAAGGGAGCUUGACUGUGAGAGGGACACCUCGAGCAGGGACGAAAGUCGGGACUAGUGAUCUGACGGUGGCAUGUGGAAGCGCCGUCACUCAACGGAUAAAAGGUACCCCGGGGAUAACAGGCUGAUCUUGCCCGAGCGUCCAUAGCGACGGCAUGGUUUGGCACCUCGAUGUCGGCUCGUCGCAUCCUGGGGCUGGAGUCGGUCCCAAGGGUUGGGCUGUUCGCCCAUUAAAGCGGCACGCGAGCUGGGUUUAGAACGUCGUGAGACAGUUCGGUCCCUAUCCGCUGCGCGCGUAGGAGUCUUGAGGAGGGCUGUCCUUAGUACGAGAGGACCGGGACGGACGAACCUCUGGUGUGCCAGUUGUUCUGCCAAGAGCACGGCUGGUUGGCUACGUUCGGAAGUGAUAACCGCUGAAAGCAUCUAAGCGGGAAGCACGCUCCAAGAUGAAGGCUCCCACAGGAUAGCCUGGUAAGGCCCCCAGCAGAACACUGGGUGAUAGGUCGGAUGUGGAAGCACAGCAAUGUGUGGAGCUGACCGAUACUAAUAGGCCGAGGGCUUGU